rnacentral:rRNA from 1 species
AGGACGAACGCUGGCGGCGUGCUUAACACAUGCAAGUCGAGCGGAAAGGCCCUUCGGGGUACUCGAGCGGCGAACGGGUGAGUAACACGUGAGUAACCUGCCCCUAGCUCUGGGAUAGCUCCGGGAAACCGGGAUUAAUACCAGAUACGACCACUUUAGACAUCUGUCGUGGUGGAAAGGAUUCCGGCUAGGGAUGGGCUCGCGGCCUAUCAGCCUGUUGGUGGGGUAACGGCCUACCAAGGCGACGACGGGUA